AUGAACCAAGGUCACAAAGAUGUUACGUGGAAAAUACAAGCUUGAAACUAUUGCACUUCAAAAGUCACGCUCUUAAAAUUGUGUAAGGGAAAAGAAAUCCACUGCACAUCAAGAGACCUGAAAGAAGAAAAGUGAGGGACAUGACGGCGUGGCGGGGGCCCUGCUGCCUUUUAAUGCCUUAAAGGCGCGGAUCAAACUGGUGGUGGUGGAGGUCAUCUCACUCGGGAGAUAUCCCUAAUGCGUAAGUUCAGAAUUCCCUGUCGCAUCCUGGGAGAGUCUCUCUCCCGCUAAAAGAUGGUCAAGAGCCAAAGAGCUCAAGCCCACAACAAGGAGCGUCUUCCUCCACAAGAAGUUGUGGGUCCCCUGCCGAUUGAUGUAGGAGUCUCCACCGACGUUGGAUUUGGAGAACCCGUUUUCCCCUAGCGAGGAGAGGCCUGGUCUGCCUCUCUAUGGGUCGUUCUGCCGCCCGCAACAGCGCAGCCUCCGUUCCCUUCCUCGCCCCCGGAGGGGGGGGGGCGCCAAUGGGCUCCCCUUUAGCCAGCACCGCCCGACGGAGGGUCCCAUCAGGGUUUUGCGGAGCCAGCCAGCUAUGCCGGAAGCCUUCUGACCCCUAGGCUCUUACCCUGAGACCUGCUCCGCGGCCUGCGCUUGCCCCUCCAGCUUGGUCUCUGCAGACGCAGCCCGAUCGCCGCCAACUCUACCUGAGCCUACGAAGCCCAAAGCCCGUGGGCGCUCCGGCCACUACCGCCUCUCCGUCUCUAUGGUCCUCCCGCACUUCCUCAUCCGGGGCCCGACUCAGCCAUGCGGAGUUGCCCAAAUACCGCCCCCGGACCGCACGCGCGCGCACGCGCGCGCGCACUCCAAGGGGAAGCUCUUCCCACGAGGGACCUCCCGCCCUCCGCUAACCACAGCAGCCCUUCACCCCGCCCCUGUGGUUCAGACUCUUAAAGGAAACACACCUUGGGUUGGGCUAACACUGAGGCCCAGGGUCCAGUUCCUUUGCUAACAAUCCUGUUUACUCCCUAUUUUUCUGAUCUGGACGUGCGCUGUUCUAGGAGGCACUCCUGCUUCCACUCUGGAAGCUCAAGAGGCCUUCUAAUAAAUGGAAUAAGUAUUAUAAGUCAUAUCACUAACCUCUAAUAACACCGACCCUAAAUCUAAAUGAUACCUCUGCUCCUAAUUGGUUACAACGCUUUAUUUUCAUUUCUUCACCGAUUUAAUACUAGAUGGAAAUGUUUCAUCACUUGAUUUUUUUACCAUCUGUUCCUUUCCACCUCUGCCUUAUAGCGCCUAACACAGUGUCUAGCAGACAUCUGAAGAAAAAACCCCAGAAGGGAAUUGAGGAUGUUAAAAAAUGCAAUCCAUUUCCCCCAAAUCACAUAGAUAAAUGAUAAAAAUAGAAA